AUGGCUUGGGGUCAGGGUGCUAGAAGGCCCAUACUAGGGCUUCUGUCUCGUGCUCAACGACAAGCCGCUCGAGGGUAUACUUCUGCAACGUUCGAAACUCAUCUGUCGAGCAAUCAUUUUGCCCAAAAUGGCAUGAUUCGUAGGAGAUUUAGCUCUGAGGUGCCUGCUUCGGAGCAAAUGAAUCUUAUUAAACAACUACGCGAAAGAACGUGUGCCCCGAUCAAAGAUGUCAAAGCUUCGCUAGUCAGUUGCAACUGGGAUAUUGAGGAUGCACAAAAGGAUCUAAGGAAAAGAGGGGUGAUAUCUGCUGCCAAAAAGUCGUCAAGGACUGCUGCUGAAGGUUUGCUAGCUAUCGCACAAGAUGAGAAAAGGGCUGUUGUGGUCGAGCUAAACUGCGAGACUGACUUUGUGGCAAGAAAUGAUGUGUUCCAGUAUCUGGCUUCAUCCUUGGCAAAGAUGGCUUUGUCAGCACAGGAUCCCGGCAAAUUGGUUUUUCCUUUUGCUCCUGCAUAUUUGGAGAACAUGAGUAUUAACCUAGAUCAUCCUAAACUCAGUGGUGAAACAACUGUUCAAAAUGCUGUUACAGAAGUCGCUGCCAUGGUUGGGGAGAAUGUAAAACUCAGACGAGGUUUCAUGUUGUCCACGACUGGACAUGGUGUCGUUUCAUCUUAUCUGCAUACCUGUCCUCAGCCAGGUUUGGGCCGCAUUGCUGGAUUGAUUACAUUAGAAGCAGAAGAUAGCAGUGCUUCCCUUGAUGCUCUCAAGAGAGUUGGGUCGUCUAUCGCAAUGCAUAUUGUUGCAGCAAAACCAUUAUUCUUAUCAAAAGAAUUGGUUUCUGCUGCAGCUUUAGAAAAUGAACGUGACGUGCUCCGAACUCAGGCUGAAAGUUCAGGUAAACCCCAAAUGGCCAUAGAGAAAAUGGUGGAGGGCCGAUUGAGGAAGUAUUUUGAAGAUGUCGUGCUUUUGGAGCAAAAAUACGUUGUUAAUGAUAGCACAAACAUUAAGACUCUGCUGAAUGAUUUGUCAAAGGAGGUUGGUUCGAAAGUAACAAUUGGCAAUUUUAUCAGAAUGGAAGUUGGAGAAGGAAUUGAGAGCAGACCUGAGGAAACAGCUAAAAAAGAAGCUAUGGCUUGUGCUGCGUAA
rnacentral:rRNA from 1 species